UACAGAGGUCUCAAGCGUUGUUCGGAUUCAUUGGGCGUAAAGGGUGCGUAGGCGGGUAAGUAAGUCCGUGGUGAAAUCUCUGAGCUUAACUCAGAAACUGCCGUGGAUACUAUUUGCCUUGAAUAUUGUGGAGGUGAGCGGAAUAUGUCAUGUAGCGGUGAAAUGCUUAGAUAUGACACAGAACACCGAUUGCGAAGGCAGCUCACAAAACUGUAACUGACGCUGAGGCACGAAAGCGUGGGUAUCAAACAGG
rnacentral:rRNA from 1 species